rnacentral:rRNA from 1 species
GUAGAUACCAACCCUCGGGACGGGGAUAGCUGCGGGAAACUGCAGGUAAUACCCGAUAACGUCUAUGGACCAAAGGUGUGAUUCCACCUGAGGACGGGUCUGCAUCCUAUUAGCUAGUUGGCGGGGUAAUGGCCCACCAAGGCUGUGAUGGGUAGCGGGUGUGAGAGCACGACCCGCGUCACUGGGACUGAGAACUGCCCAGACACCUACGGGUGGCUGCAGUCGAGGAUUUUUGGCAAUGAGCGCAAGCUUGACCAAGCGACGCCGCGUGCGGGAUGAAGGCCUUCGGGUUGUAAACCGCUGUCAGUGGGGAGGAAGGUUUCGUGAAGAGCGAAACUUGACUAAUCCGCANAGGAAGUGAGGGCUAAGCUCGUGCCAGCAGCCGCGGUAAGACGAGCCUCACAAACGUUAUUCGGAAUCACUGGGCUUAAAGGGUGCGUAGGCGGUGUGGAUAGUCGGGUGUGAAAUACCUCAGCUUAACUGAGGAACUGCACUCGAUACUUCCAUGCUA